UAACGUUACCAAACUGUUGCCUCGGCGGGAUCUUCUGCCCCGGGUGCGUCGCAGCCCCGGACCAAGGCGCCCGCCGGAGGAAUCAACCAAAACUCUUAUUGUAUACCCCCUCGCGGGUUUUUUUUAUAAUCUGAGCCUUCUCGGCGCCUCUCGUAGGCGUUUCGAAAAUGAAUCAAAACUUUCAACAACGGAUCUCUUGGUUCUGGCAUCGAUGAAGAACGCAGCGAAAUGCGAUAAGUAAUGUGAAUUGCAGAAUUCAGUGAAUCAUCGAAUCUUUGAACGCACAUUGCGCCCGCCAGUAUUCUGGCGGGCAUGCCUGUCCGAGCGUCAUUUCAACCCUCGAACCCCUCCGGGGGGUCGGCGUUGGGGAUCGGCCUUCCUUCACGGGGGCCGUCUCCGAAAUACAGUGGCGGUCUCGCCGCAGCCUCUCCUGCGCAGUAGUUUGCACACUCACAUCGGGAGCGCGGCGCGUCCACAGCCGUUAAACACCCAACUUUCUGAAAUGUUGACCUCGGAUCAGGUAGGAAUACCCGCUGAACUU
rnacentral:rRNA from 1 species